UACAGAGGGUGCAAGCGUUAAUCGGAAUUACUGGGCGUAAAGCGUGCGCAGGCGGUUGUGUAAGUCAGGUGUGAAAUCUCCGGGCUUAACCCGGAAAGGUCAACUGAUACUGCGGGGCUAGAGUGCAGAAGGGGCAACUGGAAUUCUCGGUGUAGCGGUGAAAUGCGUAGAUAUCGAGAGGAACACCUGCGGCGAAGGCGGGUUGCUGGGCUGACACUGACGCUGAACUGCGAAAGCUAGGGGAGCGAACGGG
rnacentral:rRNA from 1 species